AUUCCAUGGAGGCUACUCAGAUACUGGAAAACCAGGAAGCAGAGAACCUUGGUAUCUCAAUAUAGUUCUGAAAACAAACAAAGGAGUGAGCUGAUAAAGAAGCACAUACCUGGGAUACUACCAAGUUCAUGACAUAGGGAAAGAAGAAAAAUGAAAAUAGAAGAAAAAGAACAAUUCAAGGAGAAGUAAGACAAUGCUAAUGAGCCUCAUGUCGAACUUCCCAGGACACCAGCUCACACUUGGGGGAAAUUCAUCAUGCAUCUCACCAUAGAGUUUAUGAUGGUGAAUCCCAUCAUGCAGAUCAAGUAUAACCAUGAAGUAUAACCUCCUCUUCACUGUGGCUAAAGACCCUCUCUUCAAUGUGUGUUGCUCAGACAACGGCGAGAGGCUAGGCACCUACAUGGGCCACACUGGACCUGUGUGGUGUGUGGAUGCUGACUGGGACACCAAGCAUGUCCUUACUGGUUCAGCUGACAACAACUGUUGUCUCUGGGACUGUGAAACAGGGAAGCAGCUGUCUCUACUCAAGACCAACUCAGCUGUCCGGACCUGUGGCUUUGACUUUGGGGGGCAACAUCAUUAUGUUCUCCACAGACAAGCAGAUGGGGUAUCCAUGUUUUGUAAGCUUCUUUGAUCUGCAGGAUCCAAGCCAAACCGACAGAAAUGAGCCUUACAUGAAGAUUCCCUGUAAUGAUUCCAAGAUCACCAGUGCUAUCUGGGGACCCCUGGGGGAGUGCAUCAUUGCAGAAGAGCGGAGAGCUCAACAAGUAUAGCGCCAAGUCUGGAGAGGUGUUGGUGAACGUUAAGGAGCACUCUCGGCAGAUCAAUGACAUCCAGUUGUCUAGAAACAUGACCAUGUUUGUCACUGCAUCCAAGGACAACACAGCUAAGCUCUUCGGCUCUACUUGUCUUGAACAUGAGAAGACUUUCCUAACAGAACGUCCAGUCAACUCGGCUGCUCUCUCUCCCAACUAUGACCAUGUGGUUCUGGGAGGUGGUCAGGAAGCCACAGAUGUCACCACAACCUACACCAGGUUUGGCAAGUUUGAGGCCAGGUUCUUCCAUUUGGCUUUUGAGGAAGAGUUUGGAAGAGUAAAGGGCCACUUUGGACCAAUCAACAGUGUUGCCUUCCAUCUUGAUGGCAAGAGCUACAGCAGCGUGGCAAAGAUGCUUUUGUCCAUAUCCACUACUUUGACCCACAGGACUUUGAGUUUAAGUUUGAGGCCUAGGGAACUGGAUUUUCAUUCCCAAUGGGGAAGUUGCUGACAGGAGGUUUAAGACUCUGAGAAAUAAAUUAUUUUGUUAAAAACAUCCAUAACAAAUAUGAACACGG